AAGGCUGGAUCAGAUAUGGAGGGAAAUGCUAUUAUUUCUCAGAGAGCGAAGGGAACUGGAACAACAGCCAGAGCCACUGCUCUGCACUCAAUGCCUCCCUGGCUGGGAUUGACAGUGACCAUGAAAAGGAUUUCCUGCUGUUGCUAUAAGGGCUUCCUCGAUCGUUGGAUCGGCCUCCAGAGGAAGCCAGGCCAGCCCUGGAGAUGGCCCAACGGCACCAAAUUCGACAACCGGUUUCCGAUAUAGGGUGGUGUUUAUGUGA